UAGGGAAUAUUGCGCAAUGGACGAAAGUCUGACGCAGCAACUCCACGUGUGGGAUGACGCAUUUCGGUGUGUAAACCACUGUCGGAUGGGAAUAACGGCGCGAUGUUGAAUCGCGUAUGAAUGUACCAUCAAAGGAAGCAUCGGCUAACUUCGUGCCAGCAGCCGCGGUAAUACGAGGGAUGCAAGCGUUGUUCGGAAUCACUGGGCGUAAAGAGAGCGUAGGCGGGAAAAUAAGUUUGGUGUUUAAAGCAAGGGCCUAACCCUUGUGUGGCACUGAAUACUGUUUUUCUUGAGUAGGUUAGGGGUUAUCGGAAUUUCUGGUGUAGCGGUGGAAUGCGUAGAUAUCAGAAAGAACACCAAUGGCGAAGGCAGAUAACUGGGACCAUACUGACGCUGAGGCUCGAAAGUGCGGGGAGCAAACAGG
rnacentral:rRNA from 1 species